UUGAAAAGAGAAGGGUGAACGUGAGGAAUGCCUCGAGGAAGCACAAGGACGGUGCAACAAGUAAACACAUUGGGGCGUGGUGUUCUAGGAAAACAGUCAAUAAUCUGCCAUGGUGUGAUGCAGCCCGACAGAAAACAAUGAUCCUGAUUGCUUCUGCCUUCCGGACCGGCCUGCUCCACCCUGAUACUCUACUUCUCCUCAGCACGUCCUUCACCUGAAAAUUUGUACAUAAGGUAUAUUUACCUCCGCUUUAUUCUUACAAUAGUGCCGCAGUAACACGUUCGUUUCUCCACGAUAGAUUAAUGCACGUUUAUCUUAUCUUAUCUUCUCUAAAAGAGAGGCAGUGUGUCUGUAUCACAUAUAGAGUAUCUGACACACUUCCUGAUCCAAUCUACAGGCUGUAUCCCACGAUCAUAUCCUGUGAACACAAUACAGACAGUGUACAAAAGCAAGUGCUGGUGUUUCACCCAAUCAAGCACAUGAAACUUGAUUUAAAAAUGCCUUACCGAUAUUCUUGUGGCCCUGGAUGUCUUCUAGCACGGAUCUUUCUUUGAGAUAGCCGUAAUCUCCACCCUGUGCGUCCAGAAGAAACUCUUUCACAGCAGCAGAGCUGGACCUGGCAGAACUCACACGGUACACAGAGGCAGAACCUCCCUGUCCUAACCGAGCCUGCACCUUCCACAUCUCCCCAAAGA